CUGUCGAAUCGUAUGGCCGUUUAGCUACUAGUAUAGCUGAACAACGCUAACGAUGCUCCAAUCAAAUUUCUGCCCCAUCAUCUUGCACGUUGGUAGGGUAGUGGCCUACCAAAGAAAUGACGGGUAACGGGGAAUUGGCGUUCGAUUCCGGAGAGGGAGCCUGGGAAACGGCUACCACAUCCAAGGA
rnacentral:rRNA from 12 species